GAUGAACGCUAGCGGCAGGCCUAAUACAUGCAAGUCGAACGGGAUUGCGGUAGUAGCUUGCUACUACUGCAUGAGAGUGGCGCACGGGUGCGUAACGCGUGAGCAACCUACCCAUAUCAGGGGGAUAGCCCGGCGAAAGUCGGAUUAACACCGCAUAACAGCAACAGUUCGCAUGUUCAGUUGAUUAAAUAUUUAUAGGAUAUGGAUGGGCUCGCGUGACAUUAGCUAGUUGGUAGGGUAACGGCUUACCAAGGCAACGAUGUCUAGGGGCUCUGGGAGGAGCAUCCCCCAGACUGGUACUGAGACACGGACCAGACUCCUACGGGAGGCAGCAGUAAGGAAUAUUGAUGAAUGGGCGCAAGCCUGAACCAGCCAUGCCGCGUGCAGGAGGACUGCCCUAUGGGUUGUAAACUGCUUUUAUCAGGGAAUAAACCCCUUUACGAGUAGAGGGUUGAAUGUACCUGAAGAAUAAGGAUCGGCUAACUCCGUG
rnacentral:rRNA from 1 species